ACGAACGCUGGCGGCGUGCCUAAUACAUGCAAGUAGAACGCUGAAGAGAGGAGCUUGCUCUUCUUGGAUGAGUUGCGAACGGGUGAGUAACGCGUAGGUAACCUGCCUUGUAGCGGGGGAUAACUAUUGGAAACGAUAGCUAAUACCGCAUAACAAUGGAUGACACAUGUCAUUUAUUUGAAAGGGGCAAUUGUUCCACUACAAGAUGGACCUGCGUUGUAUUAGCUAGUAGGUGAGGUAAUGGCUCACCUAGGCGACGAUACAUAGCCGACCUGAGAGGGUGAUCGGCCACACUGGGACUGAGACACGGCCCAGACUCCUACGGGAGGCAGCAGUAGGGAAUCUUCGGCAAUGGGGGCAACCCUGACCGAGCAACGCCGCGUGAGUGAAGAAGGUUUUCGGAUCGUAAAGCUCUGUUGUAAGUCAAGAACGGGUGUGAGAGUGGAAAGUUCACACUGUGACGGUAGCUUACCAGAAAGGGACGGCUAACUACGUGCCAGCAGCCGCGGUAAUACGUAGGUCCCGAGCGUUGUCCGGAUUUAUUGGGCGUAAAGCGAGCGCAGGCGGUUUGAUAAGUCUGAAGUUAAAGGCUGUGGCUCAACCAUAGUUCGCUUUGGAAACUGUCAAACUUGAGUGCAGAAGGGGAGAGUGGAAUUCCAUGUGUAGCGGUGAAAUGCGUAGAUAUAUGGAGGAACACCGGUGGCGAAAGCGGCUCUCUGGUCUGUAACUGACGCUGAGGCUCGAAAGCGUGGGGAGCGAACAGGAUUAGAUACCCUGGUAGUCCACGCCGUAAACGAUGAGUGCUAGGUGUUGGAUCCUUUCCGGGAUUCAGUGCCGCAGCUAACGCAUUAAGCACUCCGCCUGGGGAGUACGACCGCAAGGUUGAAACUCAAAGGAAUUGACGGGGGCCCGCACAAGCGGUGGAGCAUGUGGUUUAAUUCGAAGCAACGCGAAGAACCUUACCAGGUCUUGACAUCCCGAUGCUAUUUCUAGAGAUAGAAAGUUACUUCGGUACAUCGGUGACAGGUGGUGCAUGGUUGUCGUCAGCUCGUGUCGUGAGAUGUUGGGUUAAGUCCCGCAACGAGUGCAACCCCUAUUGUUAGUUGCCAUCAUUCAGUUGGGCACUCUAGCGAGACUGCCGGUAAUAAACCGGAGGAAGGUGGGGAUGACGUCAAAUCAUCAUGCCCCUUAUGACCUGGGCUACACACGUGCUACAAUGGUUGGUACAACGAGUUGCGAGUCGGUGACGGCGAGCUAAUCUCUUAAAGCCAAUCUCAGUUCGGAUUGUAGGCUGCAACUCGCCUACAUGAAGUCGGAAUCGCUAGUAAUCGCGGAUCAGCACGCCGCGGUGAAUACGUUCCCGGGCCUUGUACACACCGCCCGUCACACCACGAGAGUUUGUAACACCCGAAGUCGGUGAGGUAACCUUUUGGAGCCAGCCGCCUAAGGUGGGACAGAUGAUUGGGGUG
rnacentral:rRNA from 1 species